UGGGGGGAGGGGGGAGAAGUGGGGAGAGGAGAAUUAGGCCAGCCCCUGGGAAAAGUUCCCAGCCACUGUUCCCGUAUGAUAGAGCUACAGUUUCAUUAGAUUACAGCAAAGAAACUAAAUAUGGGAAUAAACUGUGCCAGGUGGGGAAGAAAAGAAGAGGUUAAAAGGUUCUUUUGAUUCUUCUUCCAAAGCCAUUUAUUUUUCAUGCUCCAGCCAAAUCAGACUUAUCAUGUGAGAAAGAGAUGCCUGCAAAACAACGUUCAUUCAACAAAUAUUUGUUCGUCAGCUACUGUGUGACAAGCGCGAGGAAGCUAAGGCAUUCUUGGCCACUGGGACGUAAAAAAGAUGAUGGCCUUCAGCUAACAGAAACCAUGGCUCUGGAGGGGACCCUUCACCAGCGGGCGUGUCCUCCCUUCCCCAAGCCAGUCUCCGGACUUUGGCGUUCCCACCUGUCUUCAAUCCGGCUGCCAGAAGCCAACGUCCCUCCGAACCAAGUCCCC